rnacentral:rRNA from 1 species
CACGUAGGGUGCGAGCGUUGUCCGGAAUUACUGGGCGUAAAGGGCUCGUAGGUGGCCAACUAAGUCAGACGUGAAAUCCCUCGGCUUAACCGGGGAACUGCGUCUGAUACUGGAUGGCUUGAGUUCGGGAGAGGGAUGCGGAAUUCCAGGUGUAGCGGUGAAAUGCGUAGAUAUGCGGAGGAACACCGAUGGCGAAGGCAAUCCCCUGGGCCUGCACUGACGCUCAUGCACGAAAGCGUGGGGAGCAAACAGG